rnacentral:misc_RNA from 1 species
AAACAUUGUGGAUAUGAACUUGUCAAUUUGCUUCUGAAGCAUGCAAGAUAUGUAAAUGCCUGUUGUUAUAUUGCAUAUCGAGUUAUCUUAAUUCUUGAAUACGUGGUUUCUUAAGCAUGCAUUUUUGUUUGGCAUAUUGCUGAAUACUGAUUUUUAUGGCUGAGCAUGUGAUAUGAUGUGAAUCAGUGAGGAAAUGUGAGAUUAGGAAUGGAUUUGGAAGCAGUUUUGAUUGAAGUUGUUCCAAAGGAGAAUUUCAAUUUUUGACAUUCUGUCCCUGAUAUGCGCUAGCCUGCAAGGUUUAAAAGUAAAUUAGGCCUCAUAAGAUCUUUACCAGUAUGGGUUAUUGCAUAUCCUUUUAUGUUGGAUUCCUUGUACUUGAUAGAUGCUUAGCCAGCUUCCAUUGUAGUUUAUUUGCCUCCGUUUUUGUUUUGGGUUGGAGUUUUUAAAUCUGUGAUUGGGAUUUUGGAUUACUUAUUUUUUAUGGUUUGUCUUAUAUGUUUGUUGUAAAAUUUAUUUUGCUUUCACUUGCAGUCUUCGCUAAACAGUUCAGCUUCA